rnacentral:rRNA from 1 species
GAUGAACGCUAGCUACAGGCUUAACACAUGCAAGUCGAGGGGUAACGAGAGGAAAGCUUGCUUUCCUUGUCGACGACCGGCGCACGGGUGAGUAACGCGUAUCCAACCUGCCCCCAACUAGGGAAUAACCUUGCGAAAGUAAGACUAAUACCCUAUAAUUUCCUCAGAUGUCAUCUGACGAGGAAUAAAGAUUUAUCGGUUGUGGAUGGGGAUGCGUCUGAUUAGCUUGUUGGCGGGGUAACGGCCCACCAAGGCAACGAUCAGUAGGGGUUCUGAGAGGAAGGUGCCCCACAUUGGAACUGAGACACGGUCCAAACUCCUACGGGAGGCAGCAGUGAGGAAUAUUGGUCAAUGGGCGGAAGCCUGAACCAGCCAAGUAGCGUGCAGGAUGACGGCCCUAUGGGUUGUAAACUGCUUUUAUACAGGAAUAAAGUUAGCCACGUGUGGUUAUUUGUAGGUACUGUAUGAAUAAGGACCGGCUAAUUCCGUGCCAGCAGCCACGGUAA